rnacentral:lncRNA from 1 species
CCGUACGAUUGUCGCGAUCUGUGCCUCCGUGGUCACUGCGGGAUGCGGAGAGCUAGGUUCCGCCAUGGAGGGUGGAGGAGAGGCCUCUUCCCGACGGGAAGAGCGCCUCGCCGAUCCAGUGACCCUCGAUCGCUAAGCUCUUGUCUUUGUCAUCUUGGAUUUCGUGGGGGCUAUAAUCCCUGGUGCUGUUGGUCAUAGUCGCCCC